rnacentral:rRNA from 1 species
UACGGAGGGUGCAAGCGUUAUCCGGAUUCACUGGGUUUAAAGGGUGCGUAGGCGGGUAGGUAAGUCAGUGGUGAAAUCUUCGAGCUUAACUCGGAAACUGCCUUUGAUACUAUCUAUCUUGAAUAUUGUGGAGGUAAGCGGAAUAUGUCAUGUAGCGGAUGAAAUGCUUAGAUAUGACAUAGAACUACCUAAUUGCGAAGGCAGCUUACUACGCAUAUAUUGACGCUGAGGCACGAAAGCGUGGGGAUCAAACAGG